rnacentral:rRNA from 1 species
UACGAAGGGGGCUAGCGUUGCUCGGAAUCACUGGGCGUAAAGGGUGCGUAGGCGGGUCUUUAAGUCAGGGUGAAAUCCUGGAGCUCAACUCCAGAACUGCCUUUGAUACUGAGGAUCUUGAGUUCGGGAGAGGUGAGUGGAACUGCGAGUGUAGAGGUGAAAUUCGUAGAUAUUCGCAAGAACACCAGUGGCGAAGGCGGCUCACUGGCCCGAUACUGACGCUGAGGCGCGAAAGCGUGGGGAGCAAACAGG